GGAGUCGGCCGGACAGUCGCGCUCGCCGUUCGCGGCGAGGGAGGAAAGUCCGGGCUCCACAGGGCAGGGUGCCAGGUAACGCCUGGGGGGCGAGAGUCCACGGAAAGUGCCACAGAAAAGAUACCGCCGAUCCCGUCUUCAUGACGGGAGGUAAGGGUGAAAUGGUGCGGUAAGAGCGCACCGCGCUGGUGGCAACAGCAGCGGCAGGGUAAACCCCACCCGGAGCAAGACCAAAUAGGGGGGCAUGCAGCUCCGAGCUGCGGCGCGCGGCCCGCGCGUGCUCCCGGGUAGGUCGCUCGAGGCGUACGGUGACGUACGUCCCAGAUGAAUGGCUGUCCCCGACAGAACCCGGCUUACAGGCCGGCUCCCAGA
rfam:Thiocapsa marina 5811 ctg473, whole genome shotgun sequence.